rnacentral:rRNA from 1 species
UAAGACUGGGAUAACUCCGGGAAACCGGGGCUAAUACCGGAUAAUAUUUUGAACUGCAUGGUUCGAAAUUGAAAGGCGGCUUCGGCUGUCACUUAUGGAUGGACCCGCGUCGCAUUAGCUAGUUGGUGAGGUAACGGCUCACCAAGGCAACGAUGCGUAGCCCACCUGAGAGGGUGAUCGGCCACACUGGGACUGAGACACGGCCCAGACUCCUACGGGAGGCAGCAGUAGGGAAUCUUCCGCAAUGGACGAAAGUCUGACGGAGCAACGCCCCGUGAGUGAUGAAGGCUUUCGGGUCGUAAAACUCUGUUGUUAGGGAAGAACAAGUGCUAGUUGAAUAAGCUGGCACCUUGACGGUACCUAACCAGAAAGCCACGGCUAACUACGUGCCAGCAGCCGCGGUAAUACGUAGGUGGCAAGCGUUAUCCGGAAUUAUUGGGCGUAAAGCGCGCGCAGGUGGUUUCUUAAGUCUGAUGUGAAAGCCCACGGCUCAACCGUGGAGGGUCAUUGGAAACUGGGAGACUUGAGUGCAGAAGAGGAAAGUGGAAUUCCAUGUGUAGCGGUGAA